AGAGCAGGCUGGGAGCAGGGGUGAGUCAGCUGUUUGCUCUUAUGGUUAAAAGGCUACUGAAUGGCUGACACCGGGAAACUUAAUCAUCUGAAACAGGGAAAACCUGUUAAAAUAGGUAAAACAAGUGGUGAGCAAAGAGAGGAUGUGGAAGAAAAGCACCGUAAGUGGGAAAGGAGAAGCCAGGAACCACUCUUGCAUUCCACCUGCAGCCAUCGGUCUGUUCACGUUCGGGGCUCUGUCCAGCGCUCGGCUGUCCCGGCCUCGGAGGAAACGACGACGAUUAUCACAGUAAUGAAUGUGCUGGGCCCGUUUGCUGUAAUUCUGUCUCGUGUCAUUAAUACAGUAAACAACUAGAUAGGGAGUCCUGUCUAAGGGUAAAAAUAAAGGCCGUGCCAAACCCGAACCA